rnacentral:rRNA from 1 species
UUACACAUGCAAGUCGAGCGAGAAAGUUUCUUCGGAAGCGAGUAAAGCGGCGGACGGGUGAGUAACGCGUAGGAAUCUACCAUUCAGUGGGGGAUAGCUCGGGGAAACCCGAAUUAAUACCGCAUAUACCCUAAGGGGGAAAGAGGGCCUAUCCUUGGAAGCUCUUGCUGUUUGAUGAGCCUGCGUGAAGAUAGUUGUGGUGAGGUAAUGCUCACCAAGACUACGAUCUCUAGCUGUCUGAGAGAUCGAUCAGCCACACUGGGACUGAGACACGGCCCAGACUCCUACGGGAGCAGCAGUGGGGAAUAUUGGACAAUGGGGGCAACCCUGAUCCAGGCAUGCCGCGUGUGUGAAGAAGGCCUUUCGGGUUGUAAAGCACUUUAGGUAAGGAAGAAAAGUUAUUGGUUAAUACCCAAUAGCCUUGACAUUACUUACAGAAUAAGGACCGGCUAACUCCGUGCCAGCAGCCGCGGUAAUACGGAGGGUCCAAGCGUUAAUCGGAAUUACUGGGCGUAAAGCGCGCGUAGGCGGCUUGACAAGUUGGGUGUGAAAUCCCCGGGCUUAACCUGGGAACUGCAUUCAAAACUUACAAGCUAGAGUACGGGAGAGGAGAGUAGAAUCCAUGGUGUAGCGGUGAAAUGCGUAGAUAUCAUGAGGAAUACCAAUGGCGAAGGCAACUCUCUGGACCGUAACUGACGCUGAGGUGCGAAAGCGUGGGUAGCAAACAGGAUUAGAUACCCUGGUAGUCCACGCCGCAAACGAUGACAACUAGCCGUUGGAUCUUCGGAUUCAGUGGCGCAGCUAACGCAUUAAGUUGUCCGCCUGGGGAGUACGGCCGCAAGGCUAAAACUCAAAUGAAUUGACGGGGGCCCGCACAAGCGGUGGAGCAUGUGGUUUAAUUUCGAUGCAACGCGAAAAACCUUUACCCAACUUUUGACAUCCAGAGAAGCUUUUAGAGAUAGAAGUGUGCCUUUCGGGAACUCUGUGACAGGUGUUGCAUGGCUGUCGUCAGCUCGUGUCGUGAGAUGUAUGGUUAAGUCCAGUAACGAGCGCAACCCUUAUCCUUAUUUGCCAGCACUUCGGGUGGGAACUCUAGGGAGACUGCCGUGAAUAACACGGAGGAAGGUGGGGACGACGUCAAGUCAUCAUGGCCCUUACAGGUUGGGCUACACACGUGCUACAAUGGGAGAUACAGAUGGUUGCGAAAGCGCGAGCUGGAGCCAAUCCCACAAAGUCUUCCUUAGUCCGGAUUGGAGUCUGCAACUCGACUCCAUGAAGCAGGAAUCGCUAGUAAUCGCGAAUCAGAAUGUCGCGGUGAAUACGUUCUCGGGCCUUGUACACACCGCCCGUCACGCCAUGGGAGUGUGUUGUACCAGAAGUGGUUUGCCUAACCUUCGGGAGGGCGGCCCCCACGGUAUGAUACGCGACUGGGACG